rnacentral:rRNA from 1 species
AACGAACGCUGGCGGCAGGCCUAACACAUGCAAGUCGAACGGGCGUAGCAAUACGUCAGUGGCGGACGGGUGAGUAACACGUGGGAAUAUGCCUUUCGGUUCGGAACAACUCGGGGAAACUCGUGCUAAUUCCGGAUACGCCCUUACGGGAAGAUUUAUCGCCGAAAGAUUAGCCCGCGUUGGAUUAGCUAGUUGGUGAGGUAACGGCCCACCAAGGCAACGAUCCAUAGCUGGUUUGAGAGAACGACCAGCCACACUGGGACUGAGACACGGCCCAGACUCCUACGGGAGGCAGCAGUGGGGAAUCUUGGACAAUGGGGGAACCCUGAUCCAGCCAUGCCGCGUGAGUGAUGAAGGCC